UACGUAGGGGGCAAGCGUUGUCCGGAAUCAUUGGGCGUAAAGCGCGCGUAGGCGGCUUUGUAAGUUAGAGGUGAAAGCCCGGGGCUCAACUCCGGAAUUGCCUUUAAGACUGCAUCGCUAGAAUUGUGGAGAGGUAAGUGGAAUUCCGAGUGUAGAGGUGAAAUUCGUAGAUAUUCGGAAGAAACACCAGUGGCGAAGGCGACUUACUGGACACAUAUUGACGCUGAGGUGCGAAAGCGUGGGGAGCAAACAGG
rnacentral:rRNA from 1 species